rnacentral:piRNA from 1 species
UUUCAUGCAUUUUGAGUCUUGACUAUGAAA